UACGGAGGGAGCGAGCGUUGUCCGAAGUUACUGGGCGUAAAGCGCGCGUAGGCGGGGAAUUAAGUGAGAAGUGAAAGGCUGGGGCUCAACCUCAUGCAGUGCUCCUCAUACUGGUUCUCUUGAGGGAGAUAGGGGAAGGUGGAAUUCCUGGUGUAGCGGUGAAAUGCGUAGAGAUCAGGAGGAACACCCGUGGCGAAGGCGGCCUUCUGGGUCUGCCCUGACGCUGAGGCGCGACAGCGUGGGGAGCAAACAGG
rnacentral:rRNA from 1 species